GUAAUGCCGGAUGCUCCAGUUGAUCGCAUGGUCUUCUGGGAAAGCUUUCGCGGUAUGGGAUGGGGUCGCGUCCUAUCAGCUUGACGGCGGGGUAACGGCCCACCGUGGCUUCGACGGGUAGCCGGCCUGAGAGGGCGACCGGCCACAUUGGGACUGAGAUACGGCCCAGACUCCUACGGGAGGCAGCAGUGGGGAAUAUUGCACAAUGGGCGCAAGCCUGAUGCAGCGACGCCGCGUGAGGGAUGGAGGCCUUCGGGUUGUAAACCUCUUUUAUCGGGGAGCAAGCGAGAGUGAGUUUACCCGUUGAAUAAGCACCGGCUAACUACGUGCCAGCAGCCGCGGUAAUACGUAGGGUGCAAGCGUUAUCCGGAAUUAUUGGGCGUAAAGGGCUCGUAGGCGGUUCGUCGCGUCCGGUGUGAAAGUCCAUCGCUUAACGGUGGAUCCGCGCCGGGUACGGGCGGGCUUGAGUGCGGUAGGGGAGACUGGAAUUCCCGGUGUAACGGUGGAAUGUGUAGAUAUCGAAA
rnacentral:rRNA from 1 species